rfam:Sus scrofa breed Duroc isolate TJ Tabasco Contig1800_1, whole genome shotgun sequence.
GUGCCCACUUUGGCAGCACAUAUACUAAAAUUAGAAUGAUACAGAGAUUAGCAUGGCCCCUGUACAAGGAUGACACAAAUUCAUGAAGCAUUCCAUAUUUUU